rnacentral:rRNA from 1 species
AUAACGCCGGAAACGGUGGCUAAUACUGGAUAGGUGCCAAGGCCGCAUGGUCUUUGGUUGGAAAGAUUUUUCGGUUCUGGAUCGGCUCGCGGCCUAUCAGCUUGUUGGUGGGGUAAUGGCCUACCAAGGCGUCGACGGGUAGCCGGCCUGAGAGGGUGUACGGCCACAUUGGGACUGAGAUACGGCCCAG